rnacentral:rRNA from 1 species
CAGUCGCCGCGGGAAUACGUAGGUGGCAAGCGUUGUCCGGAAUUAUUGGGCGUAAAGGGCUCGCAGGCGGUUUCUUAAGUCUGAUGUGAAAGCCCCCGGCUCAACCGGGGAGGGUCAUUGGAAACUGGGAAACUUGAGUGCAGAAGAGGAGAGUGGAAUUCCACGCGUAGCGGUGAAAUGCGUAGAGAUGUGGAGGAACACCGGUGGCGAAGGCGACUCUCUGGUCUGUAACUGACGCUGAGGAGCGAAAGCGUGGAGAGCGAACAGGAUUAGAUACCCGUGUAGUCCCUGUCUCUUAUAC